GCCUGGCUGGCUCAAUUGGUAGAGCAUACGACUUUUGAUCUUAGGGUUGGGAGUUCAAGCCCCACAUUGGGUA
rnacentral:tRNA from 1 species